UUUUUUUUGGUAUUUCUGUGGUUGGUUGUAAUUUCUACAUUUUCCUUUCUUAUUGUAUUUGUUUCCUCUGUCUUUUCUUCUUGGGGAGCCUGGCCAGAGGUUUGUCAAUUUUGUUUAAUUUCUAUUUUAUUUAUUUCCUCCCUGAUCUUUAUUAUUUCUUUCCUUCUGCUGACUUUAAGUUUUGUUUGCUCUUCUUUUUCUAAUUCUUAGAGGUGGUAAGUCAGGUUGUCUAUUUGAGAUAGAUUGUUCUUGUUUUUUGAGGAGGGCCUAGGAACUUUCCUCUUAGGACUGCUUUCGCUGCAUCCCAUAGAUUUUAUGUGGUUGUGUUUUCAUGAUCAUUUGUCUCAAAGUGUUUUUUAAUUUCUUCUUUGAUUUCAUUGUUGACCCAUUGGGUUUUUAGUAGCAUGUAGUUUAGUCUCUGUGGAGUCAUUUUUUUCUCGUUUGUUUUACUGUGGUUGAUUUCUGGCUUCAUGCUAUUGUGGUCAGAAAAGAUGCUUGAAAUAAUUUCUAUCCUCUUAAAUUUGUUGAGGCUUCUUUUGUUUCUAAGUAUGUGGUAUAUCUUAGAGAAUGUUCCAUGAGCACUUGAAAAGAAUGUAUCUUCUGUUUCUUGGGGAUUAUAAUGUCUUAAAAAUAUCAACCAAGUCCAGCUGUUGUAUUGUGUCAGUAUCUCCAUUUCCUUAUUGAUUUUCUGUCUGGGAGACCUGUCCAAUGCUGUUAGUAGGGUGUUAAAGUCUCCUGUGAUUGUGUUCCCAUCAGUUUCUCCCUGUAUGUCUGUUAGUAUUUGCUUUAUGUAUUUAGGUGCUCCUAUAUUGGGUGCAUAUUUGUUAACAAGUAUAGUAUCUUCACCUUGUAUUGUUCCUGUGGUCAUUAUAUAGUGUCCUUUAUCCUUCUUUAUGGCCUUUGUUUUAAAGUCUUAUUUUGUAUGAAAUCAGUACUGCUACUCCAGCUUUCUUGUCAUUUCUGUUUGCAGGAAGCAUCUUUUUCCAUCCUCUCACUUUCAGUCUGUGUGUGUCCUUCACCCUAAUGUGGGUUUCUUAUAGGCAGGAUAUUGUAGGCUUUUGUUUCAUUAUCCAGUCUGCCAGCCACUGGUCUUCUGUGUAAACUAGUGGCUGGCAAAUAGCGAAGUGGCAAAUGGUAAACAUUUUAGACAUUGCAGGCCAAGUGCGGUUUCUGUUGCAUGUGUGUGUGUGUGUGUGUGUGUGUGUUACCACCCUUUAACAUAUAAAACCCUCAUGGACAAACCCCAGUGGGCUGCAGGCUGGAUUAGGCCUGCGUGCCAGAGUUCGCCAACCCCUGGUCUAAAUCAGUGAGCUCAACCCCAUGGACACAGACUAAUGACACACUUCUAAGCUGAGAGCUGCUAGCUCUGACAUCUGUCGCUACUGUUCCUAAUACCUGAUAAUUUUGUGCCUUGCUGACAUAGAUCUCUCUUUAGGACUCUGUUCACCUCAGAUAGAAGCUUUUUCUCCUUUUAUGUCCCUUGUGCCUCAGGGGCAGGAGAUUGGAUAGGGGUCCCCACUUCCAGACAACUUCUCCCUUAGUUUUUUGAAGUUACAUCAUUAUCCCCAUUUCCUUAUUAUCUUACUUCCCAGAAGCUGCCUCUGUCCUUUCAUUAAAGACUAGCUCUUGGCUCAGUUUUAUCCUUUAUUUCCGUUGUCUUAAUGAUCCCGGUAGUCUUGUGGAUGAUAGAUCUGACCCUGUGAUCUUGAAGUUCACAGUCUGUCCAUCCCAUCGGGCCUCUCAGUGAUCACACCAGGACCUCCUGUGAACUGGGCGUGGAGCAUUCCCGUCUCCUGUCCCUCCCACUGCUGACCUUCCACACUCCGACCUCUUUUCUCUCUUUAGGCAUCACCUGUCCCGUCUUCCAGUGGUUCUUGUUCAGCUUGGAUUCUGAGUUCAUGGUUGCUUCCUUGCACAUGCUCUCCAUCCCUCUGGCCUCUUGCGCAUCUAAACCAGGCGAUGCUCAGUUAUCCGUCUCCUUCAUACCUGCUGUCUGUAAGGAGCUCAACAUUCCUGGAGGGUAGCAACAGUCUGGUUUUCUCAUUUGUGUUUGCAAGGCUCAGGUGGAUUCUCAGCGCUGCUUAGCAGGUUCACCAUUUCCCUAAAAAAAUUGUUUUCCUACUUUGAGACAGUUAUUUUACAACUGUCUCAUACUCUGUACUUGCCUCCUCGGCGUUCAGCUGGUGACCUCUUACACAUCUUUGAGAAAACAGGAACCACCAUUUUUCUUCCUUCCACUUCAGUGCAUGCAGUGCCGUUUCUCCUUUCAGAGGCAGAGACUUGUGUUCCAGGUCCCGUUCCCCGUGACCUUCUCGGGAACCUUGAUUCUUCCGGGUUCUUCAUGUAAUUUCUCAGGCUAGAACACUGGCUGUGUGUCGUCCUAGACUUCCCGUGCUCCUGCCCCUGCCCUCCCCCUGUCUCAUUCAGGUAGGAUUUCUGGUUCAGUUCCCAAAAAGAAAGUGGGGUCAGCUCGUGCCGCGCCAUCUGCACUGCUCACUCUCCCCUGAGCCACCGCGUCCUGCUUGUACUGCACGUAGUAGCUCCUUCACCGACCUCAUGCCACCAUUCUUGGUCCUUUCAAUCCAUCCUUCAGAGUUGCUCAUGAAUUUUUGAAAACAUACAGUAAAAUAAGCUGCUUCUGUGUUGAGUAAUGUUGCAAUAUUCCAUUCCAUUUUUUUUUUUUAUGGAAUGUUUGUUUGUUGGGGUAUAAUUUAGUUUCUGAUCACUUUUUUUUUAAGACUUUUUUUUUCCUAAGAAGUUUUUAUGUUCACAUCAAUAUUGAGAGGAAGGCAGAGAGAUCUCUUGUAUGCCCCUCAACCCCACUCACGCGUGGCCUUCCCUCCUACCGACAUCCCCCAUCAGAAUGGGGCAUUUAUUCCAGUCGAUGAACCUUCAUUCACAACCACUGCAUUCUGAGUGAAAUGUGUUUUCUGUCCCAGGGCCGCAGAGGCCUGGAGUGAAUGGACUCCUGACUGCCCCUCCAGCCUCAGCUGGUUUCCUCUGGCUCUGUUUCACACGUGCUGGCCUGUCCAUUCCUGGAGUGGCCAGGCUGUGUCCGACGGUGGACCUUGUGUGUAUCCAGUGAGGCCAGGCUUGGUCGCAGCUGACCUGAACCUUAGAAUACGUCUGAUUGUCCUAGAACAGGAGGAUAUAGGACGCUGAUGAGGAACUGCCACAGGGCCUUCGCAUUUACCUCCCUAUCAUGGGAGGACAAGGGAGGCAGUUUGGCGUUGCCUCCCGGGUUCUGAUGGAAUAGGAGACUUCCCCCCCCUCCCCGGAGCCACCGGAGCGCACCUACAGGCUGUGACUUGCUUAGCUGUGUCGUGGGACUGGCCCUGCUCCUUAUGCUGUGUUGUCGUGUCAUCUGGCCCCUUUUCUUUUUGCCUGUUUCCUUGGGACAAGAUUCAAGGGGAGUGGGCACCUGUGUUCGUCUUUCUUUUGCUGUCUCUGUAAGUAAUGAAUGGCCUUACUCUAACAAGGGCUUGUUUCCUCACUGGCUGAAGCGUCCUGGACAUUCCUGGUCCAGGACUUUGCAGCCUGCAUCGCCUUCUCCCUGAGGUAGAGUCUCUCCCCCGACUUGCUGUCCUGGUAGCCCUGUCACAGCUCCCAGUCUCAGAUGGUUAGCUGGACUCACAAUGAGUGAUCUGUGAUCUGAGUGUUUGUUGUCACCUGGGAGGUGCGAGAAGCCUGCAGAGUCGCGUAUUCAGUUUGGGCACAGUUAGCAGUUGAUAGAAAGGCCUGCAGGCGUCUGGGCUGGGCCGCCUGCUGACCCUGAAUCCAGGCUUGGAAGCUGGGGCUUUGAGCAGGAUGUUUUCCCCACUAAGCACUGAAGUUUUUAUAUUAGAAAUAGAUUCCGAAGGCUUUUUCUUAGUAGUUAUUAUCUGUGGGUAGAAAAAUGCUGCUAUGUUUUUUUGUAUAUCCAAGCCUUAUUCAUAAGAAAUUUUCUUCUCUAGAUUACAUUGAUUUUUCUUAAAGUUUUUUUUUUUUUAAACAGGGUUUGAAAGUCUGUAUAGAUUCUUUGCAUUGGUUUUCCCUUGUUAAUACACCUAUUUAUUCCUUUCUAAAAUGUCGUGGGUUAAUUUAUUCCUUUCUAAAAUGUUGGCCUUAAAAGAAUUAUAAAUAUGUUCAGACCCUGUUUAAAAACUCCGAUCAUUGUAAAACCUUAAGAACUCAAGGCUGUUACAGAUAACAAAUGCAGAAAUCCAGGUAAGUUAGGCAGAAAGCAUAGAAACCACAACAAAGCUUUGGGUCACUUGUUUAAUGUACAGAGUCGUUCACAGGUAAUUCUUUUCCUUAAUUUUUCUUAGUACACAUUAUGCACAAAAACAGUAAACUGUUAAUGCAAGAGACUUAGGUAAGACCAAAAGGAGUACAAAUGCUCAGUCCCCGAAAUUGCACACAGGUAGAAUCGUCUUUCCUUGUUUGUUUUAAUGCAGUUUCAAAUGGGCUUUCUUCAGAUGUGGAGGAAACACUGCAGCCCAAGAUAACAGUGCUCCCUGUCAGCUGUCGAUAUGUAAAAUAGCACCUUUGGGCUGACGUCGGGAAAGAAAAAAGUUUCUCAUCUUUCUUAAUUAAAGUGUAAGUCGUAAGCAAUCACCAGGUAACAACUACAAUAAUGGUAAUUAGAAGUUUUAAGAGCUCUGCUUUGUUCCAAAAUAUUCAUUGGCUCGGCCGGGAGAGCUGAGCUGUCCAGCAGAGGGACCAGUCUUCCCCCCUCCCCUCCAUGACAAUCAUAAUAUCUUAGUGAUGUCAUUGCUCUAAUGAGCUAAUUUUCCAGCCCAAAAAUAAAUAUUUUAGGACCUUCUGCAAAACAAGAUAAAUGUAACUAUGAGGCCAUCUCUGUAAUCACAUCUAACAGCAGCUCAGAGGGAGACUGAAUCCCGGGGCACUUGGGAAGACUCCUUCAUACAUAGAUACAGAGAGAGAGAAGGAAGACGGGUAUGUACAUCCUAUCUUCCUUCAGUUUCUCCACCGCUAUAUAUCCCAGGGCUGGGAAUCAUUUUUGUCUUGUUUGUGUUUAUAUUUGAACUUAUUUGCCUUUUUGGCUUCACUUAAAAAAAAAAAACAGUAACUGGAUUUCAUUUUCUUUACAAUUUCAAUUUAAUCUUUGAUUUUAUACAAUAAAAAUGACAGUUCUUUAAAAAAAAUUUAACAGCAUAAUUGUCUGUUUUGUGGUAUUGAUAAUACCACAGAUUCAUGAUUAUAAAAAGCCAAGGUUUUAGCAGAGCUGUACGUUUAUUCUUCAAUUUCAUUCCUUUGUUUCAAUUCCAGUUUAUUUCUUAGAUGAGCAAGAAAAUGUGCUUCAAAAUACUGUCAUUCUGGAGAGAAGUUUUUUUCGAAAGGCAUAUCCAGUCCACAAAAGCUCUUUCAGAGCCAAGCCCGUUCACUGUACUGUUGCCACACAGAAUAUAAAAGAAAAUGAUCAACAUCAAGUUUUAAACAUACAUAGUUAUUUCAUAUUGUUUGAACCAUGAGCAGCCAUUGCAGGAAAACCUUUUACAGAUUUAAAUUCAGGAGUUUAGGAUUUAAAAAAGUGAGAGGAAGGGCAGAAUAAUGCUGAGUUUUUAAUCUCUUAGGGAGCUGUAUUAUUUCCUCAUUUCCAGAAAGUCAAAGCCCAUUCAAGUUAAUUUUGAGAAUUUAGGUAUCAUCUUUUAUUAAGACAGUAAUGCGUGUUUUUAUUUUUCAUCCUAGAACUUCUUAGUGUUCAGUGUAUCCCUUAAUAAAUGAGGCCUGAUUUUAGCUGGUCAUCUCCUGCUGUGAAAUGAGCUAUGCUAAGGAACUGGGACUACUGGGAUUCAGUGUCAGCCACUACUAAUGCUGUAGCCUCUUUCUCCUCAGUGGAAGGUAAUUUCUUUUUCCUUUUUCCUAUGAUACCUGUGAAGAACAAGCACCCUCAGUUACAAAGUGCAUCAGUGUGAUCCCCAGAUUUGUGCAGUGCGAUACCCAGGCUUUGGUUCUGUGUCCAUCGUGGUCGCCUUUUCACAAUAAUAAAUAGGACAGCUAACAAAAGUAAAUCACCUUGUUAUACGUAAGACAUCUUUCUUUGACAGGUCACUGUAUUUAUAAUCAUUAAUCCAGCUCACUGCAAUAUUACUCACACUUCAGUUUUACAUGGAUAUGCAAAGAAUACAAUAAUCGACUGAACUGUCAAACCUAAACAACUCAAUUUAUUAUCACAGAGUCUGUUGAAUGUUUUUGUUUCCCAGAUGAGCAAAAGGAAAUAAAUACUGUCGGAUUUUUAAAGUGAA